rnacentral:rRNA from 1 species
UAAGCAAAUAGUGAAAGCGUGCGGCUCAACCGCAUAUCCAUUAUUUGAACUGUAUAGCUAGAGGAUGAGAGAGGUUAUUGGAAUUUCUAGUGUAGGAGUGAAAUCCGUAGAUAUUAGAAGGAACACCGAUGGCGUAGGCAGAUAACUGGCUCAUUCCUGACACUAAGGCACGAAAGCGUGGGGAGCGAACGGGAUUAGAUACCCCGGUAGUCCACGCCGUAAACUAUGGAUGCUA